rnacentral:rRNA from 1 species
AUGCACGCUGGCGGUGUGCCUAAUACAUGCCAGUCGCACGAACAGACGAGGAGCUUGCUCCUCUGACGUUAGCGGCGGACGGGUGAGUAACACGUGGAUAACCUACCUAUAAGACUGGGAUAACUUCGGGAAACCGGAGCUAAUACCGGAUAAUAUAUUGAACCGCAUGGUUCAAUAGUGAAAGACGGUUUUGCUGUCACUUAUAGAUGGAUCCGCGCCGCAUUAGCUAGUUGGUAAGGUAACGGCUUACCAAGGCAACGAUGCGUAGCCGACCUGAGAGGGUGAUCGGCCACACUGGAACUGAGACACGGUCCAGACUCCUACGGGAGGCAGCAGUAGGGAAUCUUCCGCAAUGGGCGAAAGCCUGACGGAGCAACGCCGCGUGAGUGAUGAAGGUCUUCGGAUCGUAAAACUCUGUUAUUAGGGAAGAACAAAUGUGUAAGUAACUAUGCACGUCUUGACGGUACCUAAUCAGAAAGCCACGGCUAACUACGUG